rnacentral:rRNA from 1 species
UACCAGCAGGCCCCGAGUGGUUCGGGACGAUUAUUGGGCCUAAAGCAUCCGUAGCCGGCUCAUGCAAGUCCAUCCGGUUAAAUCCAGCCGCUCAACGGUUGGGCUGCGGAGGAUACUACGUGGCUAGGAGGCGGGAGAGGCAAGCGGGUAACUCAGUGGGUAGGGGUAAAAUCCUUUGAUCCAUUGAAGACCACCAGUGGCGAAGGGCGGCUU